UACGUAGGGGGGCUAGCGUUGUCCGGAAUCAUUGGGCGUAAAGCGCGCGUAGGCGGCCCGGUAAGUCCGUUGUAAAAGUCAAAGGCUCAACCUUUGAAUGUCAGUGGAUACUGCCGGGCUAGAGUCCGGAAGAGGCGAGUGGAAUUCCUGGUGUAGCGGUGGAAUGCGCAGAUAUCAGGAGGAACACCAACGGCGAAGGCAGCUCGCUAGGACGGUACUGACGCUAAGGCGCGAAAGCCAGGGGAGCAAACGGG
rnacentral:rRNA from 1 species